GUUAUUACUGGAGAUAUUAUCAUUAAUAACCAACAACUUUAAGUACAUGUCGAAUUAAGGCGAAACCGCGAAUGACCCAUUAAAUCAGUUUAUGGUUCCUUACCAGUUGGAUAACUGUGGCAAUUCGAGAGCUAAUAUAUGCAGCAGAGCUUCGACCCUCUGGGGACGAGCACUUUUAUUAGACCAAAAUCAAUCGAACCUUGUGUCCGUUUUAUGUGGUGACUCUGUAUAACUUUGGGCUGAUUGCACAGGCUCGUCCAGGCAAUGCAUCUUUCAAGUUAUCAAGUAUCUUCAAGUUCUUAUCAACUGUCGAUAGUACUUUAUGAGCUUACCAUCAUUGUAACAGGUGACGGGGAAUCAGGGUUCGAUCACGGAGAAGAAGCUUGAGAAAUGGCUACCAUAUCCAAGGAAGGCAGCAGGCAUGCAAAUUACCCACUACCAGAAUGGGGAGGUAGUGAUGAAAAAUAUAGGACUUCUUUGAGACUCCAUAACUGGAAUGAGUAUACUCUAAAUCCUUUAAUGAAGAUCAAUUGGAGGGCAAGUCUGGUGCCAGCAGCCACAGUAAUUCCAGCUCCAAUAGCGUAUAUUAAAGUUUUUGCGGUUAAAAAGCUCGUAGUUGGAUCUCAGUUCCAGAUGGGUGGCCCACCUACCGGUGAUUACUGCCUAUUCUGAACAGCCAGCCAGUUUCCUUUGACGAUCUUCAUUGGUUGUCUUGGGUGAGUGGCAAGUUUACUUUGAAAAAAUGAGAGUGCUCAAAGCAGGCAUGACACCUGAAUAAUGGUGCAUGGAAUAGGACCUCGGUUCUAUUUUGUUGGUUUUCGGAAUACGAGGUAAUGAUUAAGAGGGACAGCUGGGGGCAUUUGUAUUACGACGCUAGAGGUCAGGAGCUGAGUUGAUCGCAGACAUGUUGUGGAAGUUUUUAAUGUCAACUUCACUUUGAAAAGAUGAGGGGGGCCCUA
rnacentral:ncRNA from 1 species